ACACACAGCCAUAUCACCCUGCAGCCCAAGAUCGGUUACUCACUGAAGCUAAGCAGGGCUGAGCCUGGUUAGUACCUGGAUGGGAGACCACUAGGGAACACUAGGUUGCUGUUGGAA
rnacentral:rRNA from 1 species